AAUUAAAGAUAUUAGCAAUUUGUCAUAUUCUUUUGGUCUUCCUCCUGCUAAUGCUGAGUUUUUGUUUAUCAAAAUAAAAGGAAGCAGAUCUCAAGGUUCAGGGAAUGAACUGGCUUUAGGAUUGGUAAGGGAUUUUUCUCCUGCAACCUGUCUGGGCAGUGGAGAAAAUGACAAUAAAUAUUUCUUAGCUUUCUUGGAUAUAUCACAUACUGAGUGUGGCUGCCUGGUGUGGUGCCAGCCCUGAAUGACCCACACUAUAAUCUAGUUAGGGAAUUUUUUUUCUUCAAUUUAGUUUGUAAAUGCUAUUAAUCUCAGUGGGCAAAAAUAGAUGGUGUUUACUGCUGUUAAACAAGGUUAGCUUCAGAGUUAUCAGCAGUCGUCUCUUUCAUGGGGUUUAAUGCAUAUUAAUACUGUUGCUUUUAUUAAAAUUGCUUUUUGCCCUGCAUGUGUCAUCUGUGAAAGUCAUGGCCUUAGAUUCUGUCUCAGACUGAAGUGACUAAUUGGGCUAUUAUUGUAAAGGGGAAAUGUAUCAAUCUUCAUUUGCAUCUCAGGAAUAAUUUUUCCUCUCUCAUUGAUUCUAGUUACCGUGGGAUGUCCUCACAUCAGUGACUUUAUCAUCCUUGUCAGUUGAAUCAUGUCUGAUAUUAGAAUGUUACAUACUUUUCCUCCUGUGCACACUUUUAAUUCCCACUGCUGCUAACAGGAAUUGAAUGCUUCUGCAGUCAGACCAUUUAAAUGUACAUGAACUGUUGUUAUCAGACCAUUGUGAUGGGGGAAGGAAGCACAGAAUAAAGUAAUGAAUCCAGAAAAAUUAUAUGUAAUAUCAGAGGACCCUAGUGGGUUUUCAAUAUAUAAAAUGCUCUUGACAUUUUUUCUUGCUAUCAAGUGAAAGCUUUGUAGAUCCUUUAAAGUGCAACACAUCCUUGCAAGAAUUUCUGAGCUAUUAGAAAACCUUUUCCUGCACUAUGAAGUCAGCUUCUGUUCAGUCAGCUUCAAUGUUUACAAGCUCAUGUCUAAUGUUAAUAGCUGAACUUCUUUAUUUAUAUUGACAGUAAUUUCGGCUAAUAGAGAACAUGAAGUACUCAGCAGCACACACCUCUAGGGACUUGUGCAAGAUCAGAAACCAGACUUAAUUUAAUCUGCUUGGCUGAGGGAGGGGAAGCACAACAGAAACAGAGAACCUGGAGUCUCACUGGGGUCUGCAGUAGAGAGACGACAAUGCUGCUGAACUUCCACCAGGGGAGUCUUCUGCCACUCAGGGAGAAGAUCAGUAUCAGUCAGGAGCAUCUUCUCCUGCCCAGCAGUCUGGACAAACAAGGCAGGGCUUUUGAAGCCAUUAAGAGAAGAAAAAGUUUUGUUCUGUUGGAUCAAAGUCUCCCUUUGGCCAAAAUCAUCAGGUAAAAUGGCACUAACAGCAUUUCUGGAUGGGGGGAUCUGUGACCACAUCAGGAACUGUUGUCAUCUUGCUAGUAGGAGUGCCACCACUUCAUACCAAUAUCCUGCCUCUCACAUCCAAGACUGUUCCAUAUUUAUAACCACCUCCUAUUACUAGAUCACUGAGGACCAUGGAGAUAGCUGGAGUGUAUCUCCAAGAGAUCAGACGUGUUCCCUACUGAGCCAAAUGGACAAUAAGGUAAUCAGAAAGCAGGGGGGGAGUGGAGUUUCUGCAGAGCUCAGGGCUGAGAGAAGAGCGAGCCAGCAGAGAUCUCUGCUGGGAUGGAGGAGGGAGCUGUGACCUGCUGGAGCAGGGUUUGGUUAACAAUUCCACAGCUCGAGCCUUCAACAGGACAUGGAGCCAACCCAGG